rnacentral:tRNA from 1 species
GCCGGGAUGGUGGAAUUGGUAGACGCGGCGGACUCAAAAUCCGCUACCCGCGAGGGUGUGAGAGUUCAAGUCUCUCUCCCGGUACCA